CAUAUCCAAUAGCGGAGGAAAAGAAACUAACAAGGAUUCCCCUAGUAACGGCGAGUGAACCGGGAAGAGCUCAAAUUUGAAAUCUGGCGUGCUCAGUGCGUCCGAGUUGUAAUCUAUAGAGUCGUUUUCCGUGCCGGACUGUGUCCAAGUCCCUUGGAACAGGGUAUCAAAGAGGGUGAUAAUCCCGUACUUGACACAAUGACCGGUGCUCUGUGAUACGUCUUCUACGAGUCGAGUUGUUUGGGAAUGCAGCUCAAAAUGGGUGGUGAGUUCCAUCUAAAGCUAAAUAUUGGCGAGAGACCGAUAGCGAACAAGUACCGUGAGGGAAAGAUGAAAAGCACUUUGGAAAGAGAGUUAAACAGUACGUGAAAUUGUUAAAAGGGAAACGAUUGAAGUCAGUCGUGACUGAGAGGCUCAGCCGGUUCUGCCGGUGUAUUCCCCUCAGUCGGGUCAACAUCAGUUUUGUUCGGUGGAUAAGGGCGGUUGGAAGGUGGCACCCUCGGGUGUGUUAUAGCCAACUGUCGCAUACAUCGGAUGAGACUGAGGAAUGCAGCUCGCCUUUAUGGCCGGGGUUCGCCCACGUUCGAGCUUAGGAUGUUGACAUAAUGGCUUUAAACGACCCGUCUU
rnacentral:rRNA from 1 species